AAUGAACGCUGGCGGUAGGCCUAACACAUGCAAGUCGAACGGCAGCACAGUAAGAGCUUGCUCUUACGGGUGGCGAGUGGCGGACGGGUGAGGAAUACAUCGGAAUCUACUUUUUCGUGGGGGAUAACGUAGGGACACUUACGCUAAUACCGCAUACGACCUACGGGGGAAAGCAGGGGAUCUUCGGACCUUUCGCGAUUGAAUGAGCCGAUGUCGGAUUAGCUAGUUGGCGGGGUAAAGGCCCACCAAGGCGACGAUCCGUAGCUGGUCUGAGAGGAUGAUCAGCCACACUGGAACUGAGACACGGUCCAGACUCCUACGGGAGGCAGCAGUGGGGAAUAUUGGACAAUGGGCGCAAGCCUGAUCCAGCCAUACCGCGUGGGUGAAGAAGGCCUUCGGGUUGUAAAGCCCUUUUGUUGGGAAAGAAAAGCAGCAGGUUAAUACGCCGCUGUUCUGACGGUACCCAAAGAAUAAGCACCGGCUAACUUCGUG
rnacentral:rRNA from 1 species